rnacentral:rRNA from 1 species
GACGAACGCUGGCGGCGUGCUUAACACAUGCAAGUCGAACGGUAAGGCCCUUCGGGGUACACGAGUGGCGAACGGGUGAGUAACACGUGGGUGAUCUGCCCUGCACUUCGGGAUAAGCCUGGGAAACUGGGUCUAAUACCGGAUAGGACCACUGCCUGCAUGGGUGGUGGUGGAAAGCUUUUGCGGUGUGGGAUGGGCCCGCGGCCUAUCAGCUUGUUGGUGGGGUGAUGGCCUACCAAGGCGACGACGGGUAGCCGGCCUGAGAGGGUGACCGGCCACACUGGGACUGAGAUACGGCCCCGCAUCCUACGGGAGGCAGCAGGGGGGAAUAUUGCACAAUGGGCGCAAGCCUGAUGCAGCGACGCCGCGUGAGGGAUGACGGCCUUCGGGUUGUAAACCGCUUUCAGCACCGACGAAGCGAAAGUGACGGUAGGUGCAGAAGAAGGACCGGCCAACUACGUGCCAGCCGCCGCCGUAA